UAUACUGUCUUUUCUUUCAAUCUUGUUUGCAAUAUGUACCAGUAUCUUUUGCUUUGUUAUAGCUUUCAUCCUGGCAGUAAGUGCUUGAUGAAAGUACGCAUGUUAAUCUGUCAAAAGAAAUGAUUUGAUAGCUUUCAUCCUGGCACUUUGUUUCAUAGCAUGAAAUUCUUCAAUGAGAUCUUACCAAUGAUUGUGAGAAACAUCAAGACUAGGGACACUGGGUUGGAGAUUUAGGUUUUUUACCAUGGUGGUAUAUGUGAUUAAGAUGCAUAACGGUACCGAGAAAUAUAUAAAAAAUGAGAUACUGGCACAUUAUGUAGAUGACAAAGAAAAAUAGAAUUGUGUGCUGUUUAGUGGAGUCUACCACAAGUGUUGUGCUUUCUCUUCUCUUGAGUCAGUAUUCAUGCUAACAAUCCCUUUUUUUUAUGAUAUUUUGAUCAAUUAAGUGCUAUGUUAAUGGUAUGUGUCUGUUCUCCCAAUUUGGUUAAAGAUCACAAUAUAACUAUCCAUCUUGAUAUAUGAUUAAUAGGAGAUAUUUGCUCGAGUGCAAAACUAGUGUUUGUUUGAAGGAUUUUAACAAAAUUUUACUAUUUACCAAAUUUUUUCCCCAAAACAUCAAAUAAAAUACCUAUUUUUUAUUUUUGAUAUUAUACAAAAGAAUAAUUUUACAUUCAAAACAUCACAUCAUCACCUAUUUAUAUUACAUCAUACAACUAUACCAAUUCCAAAAUUUUUACUAUUCAAAUCUCAAACCCAACAUCCAAACCUCCAAACAAACACACCCUUAAAAUAAAGCGACUAAGAUAUUAUCUGCAUUAGGGUAAUUUUUCUACGCUGUAGUGCUUGAUUCUGACUAAGGGAUCGAAACCUCUAAAUUGAAGAUUUUCAGUAUGCACAAGAUUUACAUGAAACUACAUCCACAAGCAAGAGAGUAUGAAAAUCCACUAAUUUAACCAGGGAAAAUUCAAUUAUAUUUUCAAUGGAUAUGCAAGGAUUUUCUGAUAGCAAAUCUCCCGUUUAUAGUUGAAUUCGUCACAAGAUUACUCUCUUUAGUGUAAAGUGGGUGCAUGUCAAUAUAAACAUCUCAUUAUGGUCUUGGAUUAUCCUUGCCAACACAAAACUAUAAUCGAGUAUAACAUGCUUUUGUAGGAAGGUUAGUAUUUCUGUAAAGUACAAGUUAAGUUCUUUUCCAAAGUAAGUUUCUACAUAGGGUAAUUCUUGUGCAUGACUAAUUGCUUCAUAAGAAAACAUCCUCUCCAAAGUUAAAAAAAUCCGGCCUAAUAGAAUUCUGAGUUAUAAGCUUAACAAUCUACCGCCCUUAAAUAUCAUUUUCUACUAGCCUAGAAUCAAACUUUUCGAUGCCUAACUUCAUUUUGAAACACCUACAAGAUCAUUGCUUAUUUAAUUGAGUUGUAUAAGUUGUAUAGCAUAUCAUGUAAACCUUUGCUUAUGUUCAUUCCAACAAUGCCGAUCAUGCUUUGAUCUGAGUCUGCAUGUAUCAACUUGCACCUUCAGAGGUUUCUUUCGUUGUUUCAAAAGUCCCUCCAAGGUAACUGUGCAAACUAUUUUGUCUGUGAUUGAUUCAUUCUUUUAGCACUAAAUGUCUCUUGACUGUUUCCCACUAUUAAACUACCAAAACCAUCGUGUUUUUGUCGAUAUAGUUCGCUGCUUGUCAUUCAGAAUGCAUGACUUUAUCAGCUAGUUGGUCUAUAAAGAAAUUUCUAAGUAUCCAGGAAUUUCAGAAUCAUUCUCUAUACCUGCUACUGGCCUCCGCGGUCUAGCAGUCACUAAUGUGUAUAUUAUAUUUAUUUAUUAUUUCCAAUUCCUGAUUAUGUGGUGUCUUCCCUUCACCAAAGCGACACUACUCCCUAGCAGGAUUGAUAGAACUAUUUAGUACAGUAACAAGUCACUAGUACCAGACUUUUUUGGAAAUUACAUUAUUGGUUCUGUAAAAAUCUUUUUAGGGUGUGUUUGUUUGGGGAUUCUCCCCCAAAUACACUAUUCAUCCCAUUUUUUUCCCUAAAAAAUAACAAAUCAAACACCUAUUUUUCAUUUUUUAUAUUAUACUCCCUCCGUCCUAGAUAAGAUGGACGCAUUACUAUAGAUACGAGAGUUUAGGUAAAAUAUAAUUAGUAAGUAAUUAAGAAGUGUAUUAGUAAAAAUAAUUAUAGAUUAAGAUUAAGAUAACUAAAUAUUUUAAUUAAAAUUAAAAAAAUUUAAAAUUUAAAUUUUAAAAUGAUUAAAGUGUAUAAUCAAUUUUCCAAAAAAAGAAAGGACAAAUUAUGUGGGACAGACGAAAAUAGAAAAUAGAGACAAAUUAUGUGGGACGGAGGGAGUACUAAAAAUCAAUUUUACAUUCAAAACAUCACAUUAACACCUAUUUAUAUCACAUCAUACAACUAUUCAAAUUCAAAAUUUUUACUAUUCAAAUCCCAACUCAAAAUCCAAACCCCAAAACAAACACACCCUUAAUACUCUAUUAUUCUGGAGUUCUUCCUCUUCGAUAGUUUUUUGGUAUAACCUCCUCCAACAUAUUCCUUUUUUAAUUUAAGAUCUUAUUUCAUUUAAUAACUCUUAUUAUUAUUAUUAUUAUUAUUAUUAUUAUUACUACUCCCUCCAUCCCACAUACCAUGUCCACGUUGUCGUUUCUGUCCGUCCUACAUUCCAUGUCACUUUCCUUUUCUGGAAAAUGAUUAUACACUUUAAUCUCAUUUUAAACUUUUUAAUUUUAAUUAAACUAAUUAGUUAUCUUAAUCUUAAUUUAUAAUUAUUUAUAUUAUAAGAUAAUUAUUUUACUAAUAUAUUUUUAAUUAUCUACUAAUUACACCCCUCCUAAAAUACCGUGUCUACAGUGCAGCAGACACGGUAUGUGGGACGGAGGGAGUAUUAUAAUGAUAAAUCUUUUUACUUACAAUCAUAUUAUGCAUAUUUCAAGAAAUAUUUUUUCCAUUUUCUUUAAAAUUCUUAGUUAGGUCCCAUUAGUGUUUGUAUUGUUAUGAAAGAUGACCAGUGCAAGCUAUUCACCCAUCUAGAUAAUUUAGUCUAUAGCUGGUUGUUUGAUUUUCACUGAGUUCAUGUUCAGAAGCUGUUUCAAAAUUUUACUAUCUGUUACCAUAACAUCAAUAGAAAAAGAUGCCGUAAAUAUUUCUUAACUUAAAAUUUUUAAAUGUAUUCUUUCAACAGUGUGUAUAUAUGGAUAUACUAAAAAUGCAUUUCUUUAAUUUGAGAAUGAAAAUUGGUGCAAGUUAUUAAACAAGAUUUGCAUAUUUCUACGGCCUUGCAUUGCUUUACAUUAUAAAACAUAUAUAGGCCUUUCUCAGAUAAUGAUGAGUCAUGACCAUUUGCAUUUAAUCAUCUGUUUUACUUUUCAUUUAUCAAAUUUGUAAUCAAACUCCCAAAAGGUGUCAUUCAUAAUGAACACAAUUUCGGGAACAUGUGGACAAAGGAAAUAUAACCAUUAUUUUUUUUGUGUCGUAAAUUGUAAUGGUUAGGUUAACAUCAUCAGGAGAAUGGUCGAAGUAAUAUUUUAACUCUAAAUUUGAACAUGAUUUCGAAGGAUAUGUAUGAAGUCAAGCUUGACUGAAAUUACUGGACUCAUAAUGUCUGAAUUCUAAAUUGUUAUGUAUCAUCGGCAAUAAUUUCCCUGCUAGAUUCCUGGUUCUUAUGUGAAGGCCCCAAACUCCCUGGAUUUGGAGGAUACAAGUAAAGAUGAAAGUAGUCAUGUGCUUGCAUAAAAUGUCUGCAUUUUAUUUACUUCUUUUUAACAUAGAUUAAACUUGUUUAAUUACUCAGGUUUCUAUAUUCACUUCAUAAAUUUUUUCUGUUACAUAUAUAUAUAUAUAUUUUAAAAGUUCAGGUAGAAUAGGCAAGAAGUAAAAUUAACUUGAUGCACAUGAACACAAGGGUUGAUUUAUUUUUGCAUUCAUUUUUUGAGUUUAGAUAGAGAUUUUUGGAGGAUACAAGUAAAGAUGAAAGUAGUCUUGUGCUUUCAUAAAAUGUCUGCAUUUUAUUUACCUCUUUUUAACAUAGAUUAAACUUGUUUAAUUACUCAGGUUUCUAUAUUUACAUCAUAAAUAUUUUCCGUUACAUUUUUUUUUUUUCUUAAGUUCAGGUAGAAUAGGCAAGAAGGAAAAUUAACUUGAUGCACAUGAACGAACAGGAGAUACCAAGGAUCAGUAAGGUUGCAAAAGUUGCAUCACUCUGCAGCUGACCAUACCUAGCUGCAAUUUAUGACUGGCAUAGAGCAAAACUGGUGUCAAAAACGUUGAGCUAGUGAUGAAAAGAUAGCAGAAUCAACAAAACUACUGGUAGAUGGAAAGAAAUGGAAUAAUAUUGUUAGCUUCUUCAUUUUGUUGGACCUCUCUAAAAGUUAUUAUCCAGGAGCUGUAGGAGUUCUUGCUAGGAUGUGCUUGGGAGUCCUCACUAUUGUUAGACCAAUUUCUGCGGAAUAAACCCCUGAAAGUGGGACCCUCAGAAUGUAAAACUUGGUUAAACCACUUUUUUUUUUUUUUUUUUUAUGUUCUAACAUUCUGAUUCGUUAAUGGGCAUCUAUAACAAGCAGAGAGCGAACGGAAAUAAUAUGCCCAAGUUUUCAGAACCUUCUCUGUUGUUAGUCACUAAUAAGAGGAAAACAUGACUGAUUACCUCCUUGGUUUUGUAGAAGUUUCUAAUAUUCUGUUUCAUAAACAGCCUGUAUUUUGAACACAAUAUCUUCAUCCUUACAGAUCUUUUGGGGCUGUUAACUCUAGAACAAUCUGUCAUCAAACAAUCUAUGAUUUAGCCACGGAUAACUCUGGCUUUUUAUUUAGUGAGAUUGAUGUUUGCUGACAUUAUGUUUUAUUGCUUAUUUAUAUG